UUGACUAUUUCAAAAACUCUUUCUUCUUCCUUCACUCUAACUUCCUGUAACUUAUCACAAAUAAAAACAAUCUGACAAUCUUAUUAUCCUUAGACUGGAAGGUAUGGGGGCCGGCUGAUGCCCGGCUAGGCCCGGCGCUAGGCCCGGCGCCGGACCCCCACACCACCCCCUGGGGCUCGGCUCGGCACAACCGGCCACCCACAGCCGGGGUAGCCGGACCACUUUCUCCUCUUGCCUCUCACAUAUACCUAUACAUACACACAUAUAUAUACAUAAAGGGGUUCAUCCCCCACCCCCCUAGGUCCAUCCCCUCCAAGUCACUCCUACGUGGCGCCUACGUGGCGGCUCAUCCUCUCCAAGCCCAUCCUCUCCAUACCCUUUAGUCUUACUAUCUCUGUAUCAUCCAUAGACAAAGGCAUGGACAAUCAACUACCACUUUAGACUAAUUUUAACCUAUCAUUUUCUUUGUUUCACAAAAGAACAUUAUAUGAUUUCCCUUUCCUUUGUUUAUUAUGUACGGUUACAUCAAAUUAAUGCAAAUACCAUCCUUUAAGCAAACAAAAAUGAUGAGAAUACCAUCCCUUGCACCAUGUCUUGCACCAUCCCUUAACUGUACACUAUUGCACUAGAUAUUUUGGACUCCCCAACCUUGAUUUGUAGCAUCAUCAGUUAUGUUAUAUAAGCUUGCACCACCUCCCCUGCAUCUCAAGAAAAACCUUGUCGAAUACUCCAGACUUUCCGGCAACCUGUUUUAGCCUCUUCGAUCAGCGCCAAAUACGGACCCGAACCCACCUUCGUUUGAGGUCCGUAACCGUAGUCGACCGCAACAUCACGGAAACCAUCACCCGUUGCUGUUACCACACGUGACCACCACCGUUGCUGUCAUCACAGCAGCACCUACGAACAUCCGCGAACCAACGACCAGGUUGUCACGACCCCCUUUAAAGAACAAGUCUGAUAUCAUUGUGAUUUAUUUUUUUAAGAGAGCAUGCUUGAGAUGUGAUGUUGCAGUACCAUUUGAGUUGUAUUCUGUUACCCGAGCAUGUUCCUACUUGUGGGGGUGACCACAAGCACGUCAUUGCGGCAUCGGUGAUGUGGCACCUACCGUGACGGUGAGCCUAAAUCACGGCGUCUCCUUAGUACUAGUGAGGUGCAUGAGGCCAUUAGGAGGCGUAUGGACUGGUCCUAGAACAUAUGUGUAUGUUUUAUAGUGAAUGGUUGUUGUGUAUGCCCACACACCAUCUCACGUCCGAUACGUAGGGUCUGCAGCUCUACGUGCAUGUCUGUUAUGUUAUUCGGCUCAAUGGGUACAUCCAGUUGAUACGAUUAUUAUUGGCUUGUUUUAUUUGCAUCGCAUCAUUUCAGGUUCACAGGUUAAUCAGGGCGGGGUGUGAAAGAGAGAAGAAUUAGCUCUAGGAAUUUGGGAAAGAAAAAGUUAGCCAUUUUUGUAGCACAUGCUAGUUUAUCAAAAUUGGGCAUUUUAUGAUAUGUAAUAAAUAAUAUAACCCUAGGGCUAAUGUACACUCUUUUGGUGAUAUAAAAUGUUUAAGUUAUGGAAUGUUGUCUUUUGUUUUGA